AGGUUUAUGAUGACAAACAAAUGUCAUGAAGAGUGCUGAUGACAUAAAAAUGAUGCUCAAUGAGAUUUUGCUGAGGCCC
ensembl:snoRNA SNORD115 Small nucleolar RNA SNORD115